UCUGGGCUUGGCAACAGUAUAUACUAAAAUUGAAACAGUCAGAGAUUAGCAUGUCACCUGGGCAAGGGUGAAACACAAAUCUGUGAAGAAUUUCAUAUUUUA